GAUGAACGCUAGCGGCAGGCUUAAUACAUGCAAGUCGUGGGGCAGCAGGUUUGUAGCAAUACAGAUGCUGGCGACCGGCAAACGGGUGCGGAACACGUACAGAACCUUCCUUUGAGCGGGGAAUAGCCCAGAGAAAUUUGGAUUAAUACCCCAUAGUAUAAUGAAGCGGCAUCACUUUAUAUUAAAGAUUUAUCACUCGAAGAUGGCUGUGCGGCUGAUUAGGUAGUUGGCGGGGUAAAGGCCCACCAAGCCUGCGAUCAGUAACUGGUGUGAGAGCACGACCAGUCACACGGGCACUGAGACACGGGCCCGACUCCUACGGGAGGCAGCAGUAAGGAAUAUUGGUCAAUGGAGGCAACUCUGAACCAGCCAUGCCGCGUGGAGGAUGAAGGUCCUCUGGAUUGUAAACUUCUUUUAUAUGGGACGAAAAAGGCUUUUCUAAGUCGUCUGACGGUACCAUAUGAAUAAGCACCGGCUAACUCCGUGCCAG
rnacentral:rRNA from 1 species